rnacentral:rRNA from 1 species
AUUGAACGCUGGCGGCAGGCCUAACACAUGCAAGUCGAGCGGAUGAAGGGAGCUUGCUCCUGGAUUCAGCGGCGGACGGGUGAGUAAUGCCUAGGAAUCUGCCUGGUAGUGGGGGAUAACGUCCGGAAACGGGCGCUAAUACCGCAUACGUCCUGAGGGAGAAAGUGGGGGAUCUUCGGACCUCACGCUAUCAGAUGAGCCUAGGUCGGAUUAGCUAGUUGGUGGGGUAAAGGCCUACCAAGGCGACGAUCCGUAACUGGUCUGAGAGGAUGAUCAGUCACACUGGAACUGAGACGCGGUCCAGACUCCUACGGGAGGCAGCAGUGGGGAAUAUUGGACAAUGGGCGGAAGGCUGGUCCAGCCAUGCCGCGUGUGUGAAGAAGGUCUUCGGAUUGUAAAGGAAUUUAAGUUGGGAGGAAGGGCAGUAAGUUAAUACCUUGCUGUUUUGACGUUACCAACAGAAUAAGCACCGGCUAACUUCGUG